rnacentral:rRNA from 1 species
GCAGUCGAGCGAACGACGAGGAGCUUGCUCCUCUGACGUUAGCGGCGGACGGGUGAGUAACACGUGGAUAACCUACCUAUAAGACUGGGAUAACUUCGGGAAACCGGAGCUAAUACCGGAUAAUAUAUUGAACCGCAUGGUUCAAUAGUGAAAGACGGUUUUGCUGUCACUUAUAGAUGGAUCCGCGCCGCAUUAGCUAGUUGGUAAGGUAACGGCUUACCAAGGCAACGAUGCGUAGCCGACCUGAGAGGGUGAUCGGCCACACUGGAACUGAGACACGGUCCAGACUCCUACGGGAGGCAGCAGUAGGGAAUCUUCCGCAAUGGGCGAAAGCCUGACGGAGCAACGCCGCGUGAGUGAUGAAGGUCUUCGGAUCGUAAAACUCUGUUAUUAGGGAAGAACAAAUGUGUAAGUAACUAUGCACGUCUUGACGGUACCUAAUCAGAAAGCCACGGCUAACUACGUGCCAGCAGCCGCGGUAAUACGUAGGUGGCAAGCGUUAUCCGGAAUUAUUGGGCGUAAAGCGCGCGUAGGCGGUUUUUUAAGUCUGAUGUGAAAGCCCACGGCUCAACCGUGGAGGGUCAUUGGAAACUGGAAAACUUGAGUGCAGAAGAGGAAAGUGGAAUUCCAUGUGU